GACCUAAUUGCGAAGCUCGUAUCGCGUCCGCAUCAUAUAGCAGUUUCACGUGUUCUGUGGAAGUCCCUGGUUCAAUCCCAGGUUAGGUCG